AUUCCUUGAUGAAAUCCUUGGAAGUCAAUUGCCAGAAGUUGGGAAGUCUUCUGAGGUAUUAUCCUUUGCAUACGGAGUGGUGCUACUCAGCAUGCAACAGCGCUUGCUGGUGGGCCAACUUCCCUUGCCCAAUGUCACAAGGCUGGUGGCUACUGCGAGCCCGGGAAUUGUCCACAUGGAGCAAGACGCAUCGGGCACUGUGGUGUGAAUAAAAUUGCUUGCUGCAAGAAAUGAGGAGCUCUCUCCUUGGAAAGGUUGCCGCCUGUUUGUGGUGAAUUCCUCAUCGACUUCCAGGGCGUUUGUUCACCCCUAUCUUUCGGCUGUAUCCCCACCUUCACCCCCCGGAAUGACAGUCACUUGAUCUUUCUCCCUCAGUUGUUUCUCAUUGAAUUAGGUUCUGUUUCUCUCCUUUCCCAUUGAAUAA